GGGAGAUAUUUCACAUGGAGGUUAGUAGCUGCAAAUAUGCAUUAAAACCUUUGAGAGGAUACAAAACACCAGUGGGGAUUAUUAUCAUUAUGGUCAGUGCCAGGAUAAAGGAAAGAGAAAAACCGGUUUUGAGUUCAGCUGAAAUGGGAAGUCUUGCCCUGUCUGGCAUCUUGGAUGGAAGCAGUCUACAUCGAUGUUCACUUGUCAUCCAUGUCCACUUGUCACCACAGUGUCAUCCUUCUCAACUUGAUUUGGAGGUCUCCAGGGUUUGUACAGGACCAAAAGUCAGUUGGAGUCUCCUUUAGCUAUAUGAUACAGAUAUACAAGGUUCACUGCCUUCUGGUUUUGCAGCAGAGUGAGUGGCCAGAGCACUUGGAUUCCAUGAAUUCUAACACAGCCAUAAAAGCAGUAGAUUUUAGAAAAUGUACUUCAUAACGUUACCCAUACUGGCAGGACACAAUCCAGGACGGUAAUCCAGGUUUUAUGGCCCUAUCACUGGCCUCCCUUGUUAAUGCCGAAGUAGAAUGGACCUCAUCCACGUGUGCCACAAUCUUGACAGACCCUGUUGCUACUGCCUUUGCAGCGAGGACGUUUCCCUGAUACUCAAGUUCAGUCCUUUUAGUGUGAGCCUCAAUUUUGGGGGCAGACAGCAUCAUGCCAGGACAUAAUCAGACUUUACAGGAAUUUCAUUCAGUUUCUGGAAUACUUCAGUAGAUAGGGAAACAAUGGAAACAGUGAGAGACUUUAUUUUGGAGGGCCCCAAAAUCACUGCAGAUGGUGACUGCAGCCAUGAAAUUAAAACGUUUGCUCCUUGGAAGAAAAUUUCUGACCAACCUAGACAGCAUAUUAAAAAACAGAGACAUCAAUUGCCAACAAAGGUCCAUCUAGUCAUAGCUAUGGUUUUCCCAGUAGUCAUGUAUGGAUGUGAGAGUUAGACUAUAAAGAAAGCUGAGUGCCGAAGAAUUGAUGCUGUUGAACUGUGGUUAGAGAAGACUCUUGAGAGUCCCUUGGACUGCAAGGAGAUCCAACCAGUCCAUCCUAAAGGAAAUCAGUCCUGGGUGUUCACUGGAAGGACUGAUGCUGAAGCUGAAACUCCAGUACUUUGGCCACCUGAUGCGAAGAACUGACUCAUUUGAAAAACCCUGAUGCUGAGUAAGAUUGAAGGCAGAAGGAGAAGGGGACGACAGGAUGAGAUGGUUGGAUGGCAUCACUGACUCGAUGGACAUGAGUUUAAGCAAGCUCCAGGAGUUGGUGAUGGACAGGGAAGUCUGGUGUGCUGCAGUCCAUGGGGUCACAGAGUCAGACACGACUGAGUGACUGAACUGUACCAUAUCUAUACAGAUAUAAGAUAAACAAGGCUUAAUGUUACUUAGCUAUGUAAUUUAACAUUUCAUGUAAGCCUGAAUUAGUAUAACAUCUCCCUUUUUAUGAGGUGAGAGAAUAAAUUAUAGGAGCUUUUUCAGGGGCCCCCUGAGAAAUCUCAAAUAUAACUAGAGAUUAAAAGAACUUUAUAUAGCAUUUGAUUUGGGGAAGCUGUCUGAUUAACAAAAGUUUGUACACUUGACUAAAUAGAACCACAGAUCAUUGUGAAACAAUACUUAAUUAUCUAUUUGGCCAAAGUAGUAAUAAAACAUCCCUUUAUCAGAUGAAAUCAAGUUUAGUUUUAUGUAACUAUACUACUAAUAUUGAGCAUAAUUUAAAAACCUUUAUAGUUCAGUUUUAGCCAAUUUGUUUAUACAAGGGAAGAUUCUCUCUUACUCUCUUCUGAAAUAAUCAGAAGAUCUAAUUUAGACAAAAUUACUCUCAUUUCCUUCAACAAAGAUGCAUCUUUAUUCCUCAAACUUCUCCUUAAACAAAAAUACAUCAUGGUGUCCUUACAUACAGAGCUGAACUCUUCUAGUUGUCUUAAUUACAUGCAUUAAUUAUAAUUUUUUAUAUAAUUUUUAACCCUUGGAAACUUUAAUUUUUAGAAUCAUGUGCUUCUUUUUCUUUAGAUUUUCUGUAGUAGGUAGCCGAAAGUAGUUGAAUGUGUAUUUUGUAAUUAAAGUAUCAGUAUUUUAUUCCAUUUGGAAAUGAUCCAGAUAUUCAGUAAACCUCUGUUAUUUAACCUAUGAAAUCCUUAAAGUUUCUAGUUACCAAAGAGAUUUGGGAAAAUAUUUUAAGGACACCUAAAAUAUAAUUACUGCUAAAGAGUUCACCUAAAACCUUUUAAUCUUACAUCUAUUACUUGCUUCCAACAGUCAUACUUCAAUUACUUUCCUGUUGACAAAAAUUUUAACAGAGACAACAUGAAUCUACCUGAUCAGUUACUCCAGGUAAAAUAAAAAGUUUUAUACUUGAUGCUGCUUACACUACAAACAUGCCUGUUUUAAUUACACCAGUGAAUUUAAACUAGCUUUUAUUUAUCUUAGAUCACACAAACCUGGAAUGCACCUAGGGUUAGUUUUUAUUAAUAUAUUUCUGAGUUUUCGAUUAUCCGGUCUUUAUUUUAGCUAUAUGUAAAUUAUAUAUUAUUAUACAUAUGUAUAUAUACAUACUCACAAUAAACUGUGGAAAAUUCUGAAGGGGAUGGGAAUACCAGACCACCUGACUUGUCUCUCCAGAAACC